UCUCGGCUUAUCACCGGCAGUCCCCCUAGAGUGCCCAACUAAAUGAUGGCAACUAGGGGCGAGGGUUGCGCUCGUUGCGGGACUUAACCCAACAUCUCACGGCACGAGCUGACGACAGCCAUGCAGCACCUGUGCGGGCUCCCGAAGGAGGACCGGCUUUCACCGGCUUCACCCCGCAUGUCAAGCCCUGGUAAGGUUCUUCGCGUUGCGUCGGAUUAAGCCACAUGCUCCGCCGCUUGUGCGGGCCCCCGUCAAUUCCUUUGAGUUUUAGCCUUGCGACCGUACUCCCCAGGCGGAAUGCUUAAAGCGUUAGCUGCGCCACUGACGAGCAAGCUCGCCAACGGCUGGCAUUCAUCGUUUACGGCGUGGACUAC
rnacentral:misc_RNA from 1 species